CCCUCGCACUCACACACUUCUUUCCUCUAACAUCGCAGUCUCCCUCUCAAAAACUCCCAAUACGUUCAAGAUCCGAGGAGCUUGCGGAAAACCCUAAUUUUCAUCACUUUCUCUUUUGUCAUAUCUCCAUCUUACUUUCAUCUUCAGUCAUGGCGGGUGCAGCUCCAGAAGGAUCACAGUUUGAUGCUCGGCAAUUUGACUCAAAAAUGAAUGAGUUGCUUUCAGCUGAUGGGCAAGAUUUCUUUACUUCAUAUGAUGAGGUUUAUGAUAGUUUUGAUGCCAUGGGUUUGCAGGAGAACCUUCUGAGGGGCAUUUAUGCAUACGGUUUUGAGAAACCCUCAGCAAUCCAGCAAAGAGGAAUUGUACCCUUUUGCAAAGGUCUUGAUGUAAUUCAACAGGCGCAAUCUGGAACUGGGAAAACUGCUACUUUUUGUUCUGGAAUUCUGCAGCAACUUGCCUAUGAACUGCUGGAAUGUCAAGCUUUAGUCUUGGCGCCUACUCGUGAGCUUGCACAACAAAUUGAAAAGGUCAUGAGGGCACUUGGUGACUACCUUGGUGUGAAGGUACAUGCAUGUGUGGGAGGGACCAGCGUACGAGAGGACCAACGCAUCCUUUCAAGUGGUGUUCAUGUUGUUGUGGGAACGCCUGGACGUGUAUUUGACAUGCUGAGAAGACAGUCACUUCGCCCUGAUCAUAUAAAGAUGUUUGUAUUAGACGAGGCCGAUGAAAUGCUUUCCAGAGGUUUCAAGGAUCAGGUCAACUAUUUUAGAUUGAAAACUGCCCCUCUGACCAAUAUGCUUUUUCUCUCCCCCAUACAUGUGUGCAUGUUUCUUUGUACAUCCGUACCCUCUUGACAUAUCUGUAGUGUGAAAGGUUCUCCAACCAGUAAGCUUUUCUGAGAUUNCGUCAAUGUGGAUAAGGAAGAAUGGAAGCUCGAAACCCUGUGCGACCUGUAUGAAACAUUAGCCAUUACACAGAGUGUGAUCUUUGUGAAUACCCGUCGCAAAGUUGAUUGGUUGACAGAUAAGAUGCGAAGCAGAGACCAUACAGUGUCAGCUACCCAUGGUGAUAUGGACCAGAACACUAGAGAUAUUAUAAUGCGUGAAUUCCGUUCCGGGUCCUCCCGUGUUCUCAUCACUACUGAUCUUUUGGCCCGAGGAAUUGAUGUCCAACAAGUCUCCCUAGUUAUAAACUUUGAUCUUCCCACGCAGCCUGAGAAUUAUCUUCAUCGCAUUGGACGUAGUGGACGGUUUGGUAGGAAGGGUGUGGCCAUCAACUUCGUUACAAAGGAUGAUGAGAGGAUGCUGUCUGAUAUUCAGAGGUUUUACAACGUUGUUAUUGAGGAGCUGCCAGCGAAUGUUGCUGAUCUCCUGUAAAAGCUUUUUCCUUGCUUCAGUGGCAAAAAUAUAGAAGCUGGUACUGUUUGGGCGGGGUUCUCUCUCCACACAUAUACCUCUUUUCUCCCUCCGCCCUCUCCUUUCAUUUUCAUAUUUUCGUUGUGUAAUGAAUGUCUAAUUUAAUGGUCCUAGUGUCUGAGAUUAUGAACUUGUGAGUAAUUUACACUAGCGUUGUUUAAUCAAUCACUAUAUUAUACAUUGGUGUAGCUGCUGCUAGUUUUUGACAUCAAAGGGUUGUAUCUGAAGUACAAUGUCAAAGUAUGAAAUCAUUCACGUUGUACUUGCAAA